UUCUUAUCUUUUUCAACUGAAUACAUCAUUCUUAUGCCAUAAUAGAUAUAUCUCCAUUAACAUCAUCUUUAACCUCCAUACAUGAAUCUGUGAACUUUCUCCAUACUCCACCCCCAACUCCCUUCUCCUCAAGCCAUCGUUGUUAGUAGAUCCUCACCGACGAGACGCCAAAUAAACUCAAACAGAGUCUCUUACACCAUCGCGCGUCUAUACCCUCACCUCGCUCCAUCCAGUGUCGCGUCAUCGGUGACAUUUCUCAGCGUCGCAUCAUCGGUGAAAUUCUGUUGAGAACCACUCUCUCCGGCCAGCCUUCGCUUCUAAACUACGACGAAUCCAAUCGAAAAAAUAAAUAAAUUUUGUCACCCAUCGGUGACUCACUUGGUUUGUACACUUGAAAAAUCGAGGUUCACUUCUGUAAAAAAAAAAAAAAAAUGGUUGAAACAAUUGGAUUUAUCGUUUGGGGAUUCAACGUUGAACUUGUACAAUCGAAAGGAGGAAAAAAUGAAUUGAAUUUGGGGAUAAGUGUGAUGUAUCAGACGACUUGGAGAGAUAAAUUAAAAUCCAAGAUUUUGUAAUUAUUCUAAG
rnacentral:lncRNA from 1 species